GACAGAGGUGCCGAGCGUUAGGCGGAAUCACUGGGCUUAAAGCGUGUGUAGGCGGACUUGUAAGUACCUUGUGAAAUCCCACGGCUCAACCGUGGAACUGCUCGGUAUACUGCUUGUCUUGAGCCACUUAGGGGCUGUCGGAACAAACGGUGGAGCGGUGAAAUGCGUAGAGAUGUGGAGGAACACCGAUGGCGAAGGCAGCCCCCUGGGUCAAGAUUGACGCUAAUGCACGAAAGCGUGGGGAGCAAACAGG
rnacentral:rRNA from 1 species